rnacentral:rRNA from 1 species
UAGGGAAUAUUGGACAAUGGGGGAAACCCUGAUCCAGCCAUGCCGCGUGAGUGAUGAAGGCCUUCGGGUUGUAAAGCUCUUUUGCCAGGGAAGAUAUUGACGGUACCUGGAGAAUAAGCACCGGCUAACCUCGUGCCAGCAGCCGCGGUAAUACGAGGGGUGCUAGCGUUGUUCGGAAUCACUGGGCGUAAAGCGUGCGCAGGCGGACUGGAAAGUCAGGGGUGAAAGCCCAGAGCUCAACUCUGGAAUUGCCUUUGAAACUACCAUGUCUGGAGGCCGGGAGAGGAUAGUGGAAUUCCUAGUGUAGAGGUGAAAUUCGUAGAUAUUAGGAGGAACACCAGUGGCGAAGGCGACUGUCUGGACCGGUUCUGACGCUCAAGCACGAAAGCGUGGGGAGCAAA